rnacentral:rRNA from 1 species
GACGAACGCUGGCGGCGUGCUUAACACAUGCAAGUCGAACGGAAAGGCCCUGCUUUUGUGGGGUGCUCGAGUGGCGAACGGGUGAGUAACACGUGAGUAACCUGCCCUUGACUUUGGGAUAACUUCAGGAAACUGGGGCUAAUACCGGAUAGGAGCUCCUGCUGCAUGGUGGGGGUUGGAAAGUUUCGGCGGUUGGGGAUGGACUCGCGGCUUAUCAGCUUGUUGGUGGGGUAGUGGCUUACCAAGGCUUUGACGGGUAGCCGGCCUGAGAGGGUGACCGGCCAAUUUGGGCAGGAGACACGGCCCAAGCCCCUGCGGGGGGCAGAAGGGGGGAAAUUUGCACAAGGGGGGGAAGCCUGCUGCAGCAACCCCGCGGGCGGGAUGACGGCCUUCGGGUUGUAAACCGCUUUCGCCUGUAACGAAGCGUGGGUGACGGUAAUGGGGAAAGAAGCCCCGGCAAACUACGU